UAUUUAAAACUGCCGCCAGCUGCUUGUACGAUUUCUGGGCGGGUAAUUCCAUGGUGAUUCAUGUUAAAUUCUGAACCGAACUAUCAGAGUCAUUUUGAUAUGGUGUAAUAAUUAAUAUAUUUUUUCUGUCACAUUUUUGCAUGCAGGUACAAAUAAUCGUAAUCUACUGAUUCACAGUAAAAAUUAAACAUUUGAUGAUAACAUGAUAAGAUUGGUGGCC